GAUAUUCACUCCAUUUAAACAUGACUUUCUUAAUAUUUGUCAUCCAUGAAAAUCAUUUAAACUGUAUGAGCUAUCUGAAAUUAUGAGACAGCAAGGAGAUGAUAGUUUCAUAAAACUUCUAAAUAAUGUACGCAUUGGAGAAGUAGGUGACAAAGAUUUGUUACUUCUUAAUUCACGAAUUGCAAAAAACAUACCAGUUGACUCGAUAUAUUUAUUUGCAGAAAAUAGUUUAAAAGACCAACUGAAUUUGUCAAAACUUAGUAAAUUAGAAGGUGAAAACAUUGUCAUUAAUUCCCUUGACAAAUUUCCUGAAAAUGUAUCAAUAUCAAAAAUCAAUCAAGCUUUGGACAGAAAUGUAAGUCAGACAAAUGGACUAUGUAAGUCAUUAAUUAUAAAGAGAAAUGCUUUGAUAAUGCUAACUAAUAAUAUUGAUAUCGAUGAUCGACUUAUCAAUGGUCAAAUUGGUCUUGUUCGUGAUAUACAAUAUAACAAUGAUGGAACCAUCCAAACUAUUUUUGUCAAAUUUAAUGACCAUCAAGCUGGAAUACUAAAAUGCGAUCUAACCAGUAUGCAUUUGAAACUCAUACAGUCCCAAUUAAAAGAAUACAAGCCAGUAUCCCAGUUUCAAUGUCAUCAGUGUCCAGCCCUGCAAUUUCUAGAACACAAUUUCCUAUCAUGUUAGCAUGGGGUUGUACUGUACAUAAAGUGCAAGGUUUAACUUUACCUAAUGUAGUGGUUUCAUUCAAGUUAUUAAAACAAAAAACUUUUAACUUCGGUCAGAUCUAUGUAGCUUUGAGCAGAGUAAAAAAAUUGGCCCAUAUUCACAUUGAGGGUAUACCAACAUUAGAAGCAUGCAGAGCUGAUCCUAAGGUUUCAGAAGAAUACACCAGACUAAAAACUGAAUCUGCUUUGUCAAUUGACAAAAUACAACCUCUUGCAGACACCUUUCAAUUUGCAUUGCUAAACAUUAGGUCACUGUCCAAACAUGCUCUUGACUUAAGUCACGACAUUCGACUAACUAAUGCAGAUGUUGUAUGCCUAACUGAGACACAGUUGUUAGAUAAUUCACUUCAUCCAACCUUGCAAGAGCAUUUUUUAGAGCAUGACUUAUUUUUGCAUAACAAUACAGAUCGAUUUAAAAGCUUAGCUUUUCUUAAAAAACAAUAUCUUCAAUGUAAUAUUUUGCGAUUGCAAAGUGCUCUAUAUCUCGAGUUUUUUUCAACCAGUGACCAUUUUAUCUCACUAAUUUUGUUUUAUAAAAGUAACAAUUGCCACCCACAGCGUUUUGCAGAUUAUGUUUCAAAUCUUGUAGAACUUCAUAAACCAGAUUUUGUGUUAGGAGAUUUUAAUUCAAAUGCACUCUGUGACAUACUUCCACCUGUUCUUACUAGGAUGAAUGAAUUAAAUUACAAACUUUUGGUCACCGAGCCAACGCAUAUACUUGGUGGUCUUAUAGAUCAUGUAUAUGUAAAUAAUGAAUUUCACAAUAUUGAAAAUUUGUCUGUUGCUAUUAUACCUGUAUAUUACUCAGAUCAUUGUGCAAUUUCUGUGCAAAUCAAACAUUGGUAGCUUGAUACAAUAUGUCUAAUAUCUUUUUGUUUAAAUUUAUUGUAUUUAUUCCAAAAUCAGGGACUUCAUUUACAUUAUAUUUAUAUAUUUAUGUCUAUUUUAUUUAUUUAUAGAUGUCGUCAGAACAGAAAACACCAAAAAAACGUCUUGAUAAUUCUAUUGUUGGGUAUGUUACGAAUGUAUCACCAAUUAAAACUGCUAAAAACAAUCCAAAGAGGAAAUACUUUGAUUUCCUUCUAAACACAGAGGACAAAAUGGAAC